GGUGCUUGGCGCGCACUGGUUUCCCUGCCCUUCUCAGGCAGGUCGCUGGGGGGCGCUCUCCCCAAGCGCUCUUAAGGUCCUCUGCCCUCGGGUGCCCGCAGUCAGGCGUGGUGACCUUUAACUUUUUUCCUGGUUUAGUUCUGCGCGUGCCUAAAAUCGACUGUUUGGCUGGAGUCCCUGAGGCAGCGGCCGUGGCAUGACCUCCAUAAACCACCUACCUGUGAAUCCCGAGGAAUAAUAAAGUGGAGAAUUCCAUGGGAACUGGAACAACCUCCAGGAAUUGAUGCAGAGGGAGAGGAGCAGAACCAAGAGAACAUUGUACACAGAGACUUCUCCAUUAAUGGCAAUGCAGUGAUCCUGAACAACUUGGAGAAAUCUAUGAGAAAAACCACUAUUCACAUUCAGAGGAAAAACUGGGAGUAGAAACACAGAAGAAAAGCAACUGCUUGAAUACAUGGGUUGAAGGGAUAUGAAUGGGGAGGUAGACUCUAAGUGAACAUCCUAAUGCAAACAACAACGACAUGGAAAUAGGUUCUGAUCAAGGACACAAGUAAUACCCAAUGAAAUUGCGCGUCGGCUGCAGGAAGGAACCAAUGUGACGAAGUUUUUCUACCUGCUCAAAAUCCACGUUCCACCAAGGCCACGACAAGGAAAGAGAACCAAAGACGGAACUGCACCCAAUUUAUAGCCUGUCUAUAUCAGCACAUAAUGACGGGAAAUUACAAGAACCCACUGGUGUUUUUGAUUCCCUCAGGCAGCAACAUAUUGGCGCCCAUCAUUUGAGGAUCUGGGAGGACAUCUUCAGGAUUAAGGCCGCGUACAGGUUGGCUACUGGAGUGAGUUGCCAGCAAUGUUUUUUAAAACAGUGGAUCACAGUAUUUCUUCUCAUGUAAACUAUAUAUAUGUUCGUUACACUGUUUACUUAAAAAACAGGGAACUGACUUCCAGGUAAGCAUGGCUGCAGAGUAGACAUGGCUUGCUUCCUCUCCUCAGACCCAACGACACAGACGACCUCAAAAGACCCUUCCCCCCUAAAAAAACAAACAAACAACCAUCCUCAUAUGAUCUGAGAGACCCCACAUUAAGGCCCAGCACUGAAGGUAGGUGGGAUUCUGGCAUUUCCACAGUAUAAGGGAACGAAAAGUUGACCCACCCUCCCCCCACCCACCACACAUCUGGAGCCAGAGUUAAAGUCAGCACUGGCCAGAAUCAACAAGUGAGAGAGGGGCAGCCCCAGGUCUGGGGACCUGACUAAGACCACCAAGUACCCACUCCUGUGAGUAGUAACACCUGAAAUCCUGGCAGGCGGGCAAGGGGAACUGUAAACCUUAAAAUUUCUUAGACUUAUAAAUGUUGGAAAUUUCACCAUUGGGAAAUUUCAUACUUGAAAAAUUUCCUACUGAUAGUCUAUUGGAAUGUGAACCCCCCUUGGCCUGGGAGGGUCCUUCUCCUCCCUACUUAAGAUUACUUUAGGACAGAAACCUUUUGCUGAACAAUGGAAAGGGCUUUGAUCUAUGCUUAAGCAUAGAACAGGAAGUUCUUUGAGUCAUGAUUGAUUUUAGAAUUGAUACAAUAGAGAUACUUGGAAUGACAGAACCAGGUCUUGGAACUUACAAUCUCCACCCUACUCAGUCCUAACAGGAUUUAGGAAGGGCUGCAGCAUAGAUCAAAAUUUAAUUAUUUGAGAAUAUGACCUUCAACAGACAUGUGCAAAGGGGCAGACCUCUGGGAGGUCCUGGGUUAAGCUAGAGCCACCAUUGGCACAGGGAAGACAUGGACAGUGAUUGGUAGAUGUGAGAACUGAGGGGAGGGAACUGAGAUGGUUUCCUUAAAGAUAGCGGGGUCUGAGGACUGAAGGUGGUUGGAGAGGUUUUGCUCUGAGAGGUGGUGCUCUGAGAAGGCUUGCUCUGAAGGAGGCUGGAGGUGGAGGCCCCUGAGACUGUUUCUCCAUUUUGGUCACGUGAGUGAUAGGGACUGAUCUCUUUCUUUGCCUCAGCUAUCUAAGGGCUUGGGCCUUUUGGCCCAGCCUAAACAGAGGGGGUAUUUAAGCCCUAUUCCCUUCUCUCCCCUUUCUCUCUCUCUCUCUCUCUCUCUAUCUCUAUCUCUAAUACCUUUCUUCCUCCUGUUUGUAAUUAAAACUCCAUAAAAGGUUGACUGCUGACUUGAAGUUUCAUUUAGGAAUUACAUAGCUGAAUUCCUUGGUGACCUUAAAUUAAUAUAUAUCAGUCUUUUAAAGUAAUUUCCUUGUCACAGAACUCAGAUCACGGGCACCCAGAACUAGCGUGCUAUGAUCAACGAGUACGCGAAAGGAUCCCCUGAAGUGAGCAAGGGGCCCCUACAGGUCUUGAGAGUUAACUAAGACCACCAAAGACCUACUCCUGAAAGCAGUAACACCUGAAAUGCCAGCAGGCAGGGGAGGGCAGACACUGGGCUCCCCCGGGGAAGACAGCGCAGCUGCAGAGAACUGAGAAUUUGCCUGAGGCUGAAGCCUUGAUCAUUAGACCUAUACACUGAGAGCAAGCCCUCCUCACUCAGAUUUCUGACCGGAAAGGGGAGAAAAAAAAACAUAGAGAUGGCAAACAGUGCCCAGGAAUCACAACAUCCCAACUCCAAGAAAAGCAAGAAGAAGGGGGUGUCUUUGUAUACAUUUUAUGGAGGGAAAAUACAGAAUAUAGAGGAAAAAGAAGAGGAAACAAAUGCUCCAAAUCUUUCCAAAAGAAAUGGAAAUUGUCCACAAGCUCUUGAAGAAUUUAAAUUGGAAGUUAUAAAAGAGAUGGAAGCCUUCUGGCAGGAAAAAUGGGAAAUACAAAAGGAAAUCAGCAAUCUGAUGGACAAAAACAAGCAACUGCAGAAACAGCUUGAAGCCUCAAAAAGCAGGACAGACCAAACUGAAAAGGAAAACCAGUCUUUAAAGGUCAGAAUCAGGCAAAUGGAGGACAAUGAUCUUGCAAAAGAGCAAGAAUUAAUGAAGCAAAGUCAAAAGACUAAGAAAUUAGAAGAUAACAAAAUAUCUCACUUACAAGGUGACAGACCUGGAAAACAGAGGAAGGAGAGAGAAUCUGAGGAGAAAAGCCAGAAAUAAACAGUAAUCUGGAUAUCAUAAUACAAGAUAUCAUCCAAGAAAACUGCCUGGAGAUUCUAGAACAAGGGGGCAAAAUAGGCAUUGAAAGAGUUCAUAGAACACCCUCUACACUAAAUCCCAAAAAAACUCCCAGGAAUGUAAUUGUCAAAUUCCAAAGCUUUCAAGGAAAAGAAAAAAUCUUACAAGAAGCCAGAAAAAGACAAUUUAGAUAUAAAGGAAUGCCAACCAGGGUCACACAAGACCUUGCAAUUUCUAUACUGAACGACCGUAAGGCAUGGAACAUGAUAUUCAGAAAGGCAAGAGAGCUGGGUCUUCAACCUUCAACCAAUCAGCUAUCCAUCAAAACUGACUAUAUACUUCCAGGGGAAAGUAUGGGGAUUCAACAAAAUAGAAGAUUUCCAAGCAUUUGUAAAGAAAAGACCAGAGCUCUGUAGAAAGUUUGACAUCCAAACACAAAGAGCAAGAGAAACAUGAAAAGGUAACUAUGAAGGAAAGAGAAAAGGAGGAAAAUGUUAUCUUUUUCUUUUAUUCAAACUCUUCUAUGAGGACUAAAUUUAUAUCAAAUUAUAUAUAUUAAUAUGUGGGGGAAAUGUAAUAUGUAACUCAAAAAUUGUAUGCAUCAUUAGAGUAGUUAGAAGAAUCACGCAUAGGGAAAGAUUGGGGCAUUAAGACGAUAUGGAGAAGGGGGGGAAGAAAGAAAAAGGGAGGGGGGAAUCAUUGAUGGUACUAAGAUAUACUUCAAGAAAUAGAAAAAAACUAAAUAGAAUAAUCUUUCUCACACAAAGAUACACAUGGGAAGGGGAGGGGAAGAAAUCUCCUGUAAGCAGGAGAGGAAGAGAGUGCUAACUGGUAUUUCUUAAACCUUACUCUCAAUGAAAUCAACUCUGAGAGAGAAGAACAUCUAGAUCUAUUGGGAUCUUGAAUUCUAUCUUAUCCAACAGGGCAAGAGAGAAGGGGAAAUUAAGGUGGGGGGGA